GCUACAGUUUUCUGUUAGUUACUACUUAACCACCACACCAUCAUCCUUCCGUAGUUGAAAAACUUAGGAUAGAGCGUGUUUGCAACCCUGCGACAGAACCAACCAAUCAUGGAAACUUCCUCCAACUACGGAGCGUUCAUGGAGAGGUUCCUUCUACCCCCAAGUUCCUCACCACCCGGGCAUGCUCCCCUUCCUCUCACUUCACUCACUUUUGCAGUCAAAGACAUAUUUGAUGUUAAAGGGUAUGUGACCGGAUUCGGGAACCCUGAUUGGCUAAGGACUCAUCCUGUGGCUACUUCUACUGCUCCAACUGUUUUGACUCUCCUUAAAGCAGGUGCUGCUUGUGUUGGCAAGACUGUCAUGGAUGAAAUGGCUUACAGCAUAAAUGGAGAGAAUAUACACUAUGGCACGCCUAUAAAUCCUUGUGCCGCAGAUCGGGUUCCCGGAGGAUCUUCUAGCGGCUCUGCUGUUGCCGUCGGUGCAAAACUGGUUGAUUUCUCCUUAGGAACCGACACGGGAGGAAGUGUAAGAGUGCCUGCAUCUUACUGUGGGAUCUUUGGCUUUCGUCCUUCUCAUGGCGCUAUUACAGAAUCUGGAGUUACUCCUAUGGCACAAAGCUUUGAUACUGUGGGAUGGUUUGCUAGGGAUCCAAAGACUUUCACCAGCGUUGGGCGCAUACUUCUACAGCUGACAGAAGUCUCAGCUGUUAGACCUACUCGCAUAAUCAUCGCAGAUGACUGUUUUCGGCUUUCAAGCACUCCAUUUGAUUUAAUUACACAAGUUGUCACUAAAGCUGCAGAGAAGCUAUAUGGAGGUGAUAUAUUAAAGCACGAAAAUCUCGGCGACUAUGUGAAGGACAAUGUUCCAAGCUUGAACCAUUUCAUGACAAAAGAGAACAUAGACCAAGUAUACAAUAUUCCAUCACUGACAGCACUUUCAAGCGCAAUGAGAUCGCUUCAGAGGUUUGAGUUCAAGAGUAAUCAUGGUGAGUGGAUCAGUGCAGUCAAACCAAAUUUAGGUCCUGGAAUAUCUGAACGUGUAUCAGAAGCCUUAAAUGCAACAGGGGAAGAUGCUGAUAUCUGCCAUGCUAUAAGAAGGGAACUGCGCGAUGCUCUUACUUCUCUUCUUGGGUGUUUGAAACUUUCAGGAUUUUGGUGUUCUCAUGAUCCCAACAGUACCAGGGUCUCCACCAAAGCUACAAACAGAUCCAUCUGAAUUAGAAGUUUUUCGAGCAAGGGCAUUUAGCUUGCUGUCCAUUGCUGGAGUCUCUGGAUUUUGCCAGGUAACCAUACCCUUGGGGAUGAAUAAUAACCUUCCUGUAUCAGUUUCACUGUUGGCCAAACACGGUGCAGACGGAUUCUUGCUUCACCUUGUCGAGAAUCUUUAUGACAGCAUUAAGCAAGAGGAAGCAGCAGCAGUGUCAAAUCCCAAGAAUAUAAGUUAACUACAAUUAAACUACAAGGAUCUCGCUGUACGUUAUAUCAAUAUAUGUCCCAAGUUCUUGACAAAAUAAAUUUAUGCAAGUUUAGAGAGCUUCUAAUCAUAGAACACAUUUUAGUCUCAAUUUGAGAUGAAUGGGAUAUGGAACAUUGAAUUCUCUUUGACUUUGACCUUCCCAAUCACAGUUUAGCUAGUUGUUUCAUUCAUAGGAGUAUGAAUUAUAUUGUGGUCUUGAAAAAUAUUUCAUUUGGUUUGAUUGCUCAAACUCCAUCAUUUCUUGUUCUUGAUACUCUCAACUACUAUUAGCAUAGUAACUUGAAUCAUUUUGUGGUGGUGAAAAAAUCUCC